rnacentral:rRNA from 1 species
ACGAACGCUGGCGGCGUGCCUAAUACAUGCAAGUCGAGCGGACUGAUUAAGAGCUUGCUCUUAUGACGUUAGCGGCGGACGGGUGAGUAACACGUGGGCAACCUGCCCUGUAGAUCGGGAUAACACCGAGAAAUCGGUGCUAAUACCGGGUAAUAUCUGAGAUCACAUGAUCUUAGGUUAAAAGAUGGCUCCGGCUAUCACUACAGGAUGGGCCCGCGGCGCAUUAGCUAGUUGGUAAGGUAAUGGCUUACCAAGGCGACGAUGCGUAGCCGACCUGCGAGGGUGAUCGGCCACACUGGGACUGAGACACGGCCCAGACUCCUACGGGAGGCAGCAGUAGGGAAUCUUCCGCAAUGGACGAAAGUCUGACGGAGCAACGCCGCGUGAGUGAUGAAGGGUUUCGGCUCGUAAAGCUCUGUUGUUAGGGAAGAAACAGUACCGAACGAACUAGGUCGGUACCUUGACGGUACCUAACCAGAAAGCCACGGCUAACUACGUG